GUUUGUGGUAGAUUUUGGUCGAGUGAAAGAUGGAUUUUACAAUGGAGUUUGAUUUAUCAUUUUGAAUUAUUUUCCUAUAUGAUUGUGAAUUAAGAAGCCGAUGAAGAUGCCUGUGAAUACACAUCAAUGUUUUGUGUCUUCGUGCAGGAACAGUAUUACUGUUAAUCCUGAUGUGACAACAUUCAGAUUUCCAUGAAGCCGAAGCAAGUUAUUGAAGUGGAUUGCUGCAAUUGGCUAUGACCUUGAUGCCAGUAAUGCUGAAACAUUUAAAACUAAAUAUGUAUGUUCCGAACAUUUUGAUAUUGGAGCUUUCACUACAUGUGACUGCAUCAAAUUGAAUCGUGGUGCUGCUACAACAUAUUUUAAUUCUGUGGACAGUGAAGUAUGGAUCUAUUGUUAUAAUUUAUUAUGUCUAGAAUGCUGCCAAAUAUAGGUGAAAUGUUUAUGUUACAUAACAUAACUUGUAAGAUCUACUUGUGCAGAUAUAUAUUUUCACCUGCCUCUAAGGUCCUUUGUUAUUCACAGGUAGCAUUUACAUGUGAUGAAGCAGUAUUUAACAUUAUUGGUCAACAUGCAGUCCAUCAUUACAACCUUUGUACAGGCGCAUACAAACAUAUAUGUGUGGGGUAUUUCACACUUUUUAUUUGAUGUUAAAGAUUGGUAUGGUGACCGGGAUACUUUUUUUUAUUAAACCUCCUACACAGUUCUCUACUGUUUCCCUUAUCUGUUGCCUUAACAUUUUUUUCCGAUCAGUCCAAUUCCUUGAAUCACAUUGCAAAAAAAGUCACAAUACAUGGGAUUGGGCCACUCUCUUCAAAGAAUUGUAAUUCGAGUUUAAACAUAGCAAGGCUGACCAUAAAUUGUAGAGGAAAAUUUAAAAUGUUGAUCUUCAACAUAUUUAUAACCUAUGCUCAUGUGAUGUAUAUACAGCUAGUUAGAAAGUAAGUUGUAGUAUAGUAUGCAAUUGAACCUUCAAUAAGUUCUACAUCCACACUUAAAAACUUAUUUUACUUGAUGUUUUAUGUUCAAUAACUAUUCAGUAUAAAGGUUUUUUUUUACAUUAUAAACUACAAAAGUAUUCCGAUUUGUAAAUGUAAUGAAAUUCCACUGAGCCCUCUACCUUUUUUUUAACUACCAUUUCUGCCGUGUGGCCUUUUUUUUCUUACUUUUGUGUUCAUUAUAAGUUACAACCACUCAUUUGAUUUAUUGUGUUAAAUUAAAUGAUAUUUAAAAUUGGAUGUCACUUCAUAAGAACAUUCAGGAUUACCUGUAUUCACAGCGCACAAUUAUACAAAAGUUUUUUAUGUAUGUAAAAGUGUUUUACGUAAGCCAGUGGACACAUACAUGUAUUGAGUAACAUGAGAAAAUUGAAAUAUCUAAAAUAAAAUUAAAAGGUUACAAGCUUUUAUAUACAUGCAGCUCCCAAAAAAGUCUGCAUACUAAAAAAUAACACAUGCUUUUAAAUGAAUUCUUACCAUCUUAUAAACUAGUAGUAUUUUGUUAUUUGAUUUCAAAUGAAUUGUUUUUGGUUAAUUUAUUUGACUGUAGGGAUUAAAUAUCAUUUGUAGAAUAAAGUGUGAAAAGUAGUAUUGAUCAAUUUAACUGUAAGUACUAAAUAUGUGUUACAUUUCUUGUAAGUUAAAAUUGUUCAGGUAUUAUAAAUUAGCUGAAAAAAGCAAACUCAUGACUAGAAUAAAUUGUACUGUUAGGUAUGUUUCGAAGAAAGACUACCUGUUGCAGUCGUUACCAUGUGUAUGUACCACAUUUUUAUUGUCAUUAUAACUGCCAUAAUUUUGUACAAAUAAAUCACUUAAUACAUAAAA